CAGCAGCCGCGGUAAUACCGGCGGCCCGAGUGGCGGUCACUAUUAUUGGGCUUAAAGCGUCCGUAGCCGGGUUGGGAAGGCCUCCGGGAAAUCUGGCCGCUUAACGGUCAGAAUGCCGGAGGAUACUCCCAGCCUAGGGAGCGGGAGAGGCCGAGGGUAUUCCCGGGGUAGGGGUGAAAUCCUAUAAUCCCGGGAGGACCACCUGUGGCGAAGGCGCUCGGCUGGAACGCGUCCGACGGUGAGGGACGAAGGCCAGGGGAGCAAACCGGAUUAGAUACCCGGGUAGUCCUGGCUGUAAACGAUGCGGACUUUGUGUCGGACAAGCUAUGAGCUUGUCCGGUGCCGGAGGGAAACCGUUAAGUCCGCCGCCUGGGGAGUACGGCCGCAAGGCUGAAACUUAAAGGAAUUGGCGGG
rnacentral:rRNA from 1 species